GCCGGGCAUGGUGGUGCAUGCCUGUAGUCCCAGCUACUUGGGAGGCUGAGGUGGGAGGAUUGCUUGAGCCUGGGAAGUCAAGACUGCAGUGAGCUGUGAUUGCAUCACUGCACUGCAGCCUAAGCAACCAAGAAAGACCCUGUCUCAA
ensembl:misc_RNA Metazoa_SRP Metazoan signal recognition particle RNA